AUGACGAAAAGAAAGAAUUUGGAAAAAUGUCUGUUGGAUGUGACUGUCCUAUGGAUAACAGUUGCAGGACUGUGUUCUGGUGACUUCGUGUCACAGAUUUCAAAUGUUCAAACUGCUGAAGAAGGACAAAACGUAACGCUGAACUGCACAUACAACACCUCAAGCAGUAACACUCUUUCUCUGCAGUGGUACCAGCACUAUCCCACCGCAGCCCCUCGCUACCUUCUUCAGAGAUAUUCUACAGGUGGUGGAGAUGACAACGGAGUAAAAGACGAUCGAUUUUCUGCUGAACUGAACCAUCCUAAGCGGUUUAUACAGUUAACACUGCGAGAAGUAAAACUGUCUGACUCUGCCAUGUACUACUGUGGUCUGAGCACCACAGUGCAUCAGGGUUGUUACUUGGCGUGA